rnacentral:rRNA from 1 species
AUUGAACGCUGGCUUCAGGCCUAACACAUGCAAGUCGAGCAAGCGGCGGACGGGUUAGUGCUGUAUGGGGACUUCCCGAUAGAGGGGUAUAACUACUGGAAACGUUGGCUAAUACCGCAUCCUGUCGGAUAUCCCAUAUGGGAUUAGCUAGUAGGUAAGGUAAUGGCUUACCUAGGCGACGAUCCCUAGCUUGUCUGAGAGGAUGAUCAGCGACACUGGGACUGAGACACGGCCCAGACUCCUACGGAGGCAGCAGUGGGGAAUAUUGCACAAUGGGCGCAAGCCUGAUGCAGCCAUGCCGCGUGUAUGAAGAAGGCCCUAGGGUUGUAAAGUACUUUCAGUCGGGAGGCGUUAUCGACAGAAGAAGCACCGGCUAACUCCGUGCCAGCAGCCGCGGUAAUUC